UGGAAACACCUUAAAUAACCAAAAUUAGGUCAUCUUAACAAGGGAUGGCUGAUUGAAAAAGGUAAAAAAACGUUGAGUUUGAUGAUGGCUCUGAUUGAAUGCUAUUCAAAUGCUUGACACAUGCUAAUCAAACGUCUAUUUUUCUUUAUAAGCUAAGUGCUAGUAAUAUAAAUAAAUUAGAAAGUGGUGUACAGGUGAGCAAAUGGUAUGAUAACUGCCUUAGAGUAAGUGUGUGAUACCUUAUAAUAAGAAAGAAGUUACUGAUAAUAAUUUUGCUUUAAGAUGUUAUCUUAAUACCUCGAGUAAGUAGAGUAGUAGUAAAAGUAAUGGUUUAACUAGCUUUAUCUCGUAGUCGAGUCUGAAAGGUCCUUCGACCACAUUGGAACUGAGACAAGUUCAAUGCGAUUUAGCACAGCAGUGAGGAGUAUUGGUCAAUAGCCUAACGGCUGAACCAGCGAUUUGAAGGAAUGAAUAUCAACAUUUUAUUAUUUUGAAUAAAGUUCUGGCUAGAAUAAUGAUAAUGACAAUUUUCUAUCUAAAUGUCUUGACUAAGUCACGUGCCAGCAGUCGCGGUAAUACGUGAGAGACGAGCGUUAUUCAUCUUUAAUUGGUUUAAAGGGUACCUAGACGGUAAUUCUUGCCUUAGAAUGGGAACAGAAUUACUAGAGUUUUAUGUGAAAAGCUUAGAAUUGGUGGUGUAGAGAUAAUAUACAAAAAUACCAUUAGGACUGGUAAAGGCGAAGGCAAACUUUUAUGUAAAAACUGACGUUGAGGGACGAAGGCUGGGAUAGCAAACAGGAUUAGAUACCCUAGUAGCCCUAGCAGAAAAUGAUGAAUGCCAUAGGUUGUAUUAAAUGGCCUAUAAAUGAAAGUGUAAGCAUUCCACCUCAAGAGUAAUGUGGCAACACAGAAACUGAAAUCAUUAGACCGCCCCCGAGACCAGUAGUGAAGUAUGUUAUUUAAUUCGAUGGUCCACGAAAAAUCUUACCACAAUUUGAAUAUUUAGUGACAAGAAAUUAUGAUUAAUUUGUUAAAAAAAUAUAACUUUUUACAAGCGUUGCACGGCUGUCUACAGUUAAUACCGCGAGGGGUUGGUUGGCUCCAAGAAUUGACGUACACCCUAACUUUAUUUAAUACUAUGGUUUUUUAUUAUAAUAUUAUAAAGUAGUUCACCGAUAUAAUGGAUGUGAUAAUAGGGAUAAAGACAAGUCAUCAUGACCUUAAUAUUGUGGGCUAUAGACGUGCCACAUAUGCCUUCACAAAGGGAUGCUAAAAUGUGAAUAUUCGCUAAUCCCUAAAACAGGAGACAACAUGGAUUGUAGUCUGAAACUCGACUACAUGAAAAAGGAAUUACUAGUAAUCGUGUAUCACCAUGUCACGGUGAAUUUUUUUUCGGGAAGGUACUAACUACUCGUCAAGCGCUGAAAAGAGUUCAUGCAAUAAGUUUAGUGUAGGGCAGGUUUGGCUUUUUCCCACCGAGAUUAAGGGGGUGAGAAAAUCUGUCUUACAUUUUCGAAUGCGGAACUCUGAUUAGGGUUAAGUCGUAAUACGGUUCGUGUAGGUCAACUUGCACGGGAAUGAUUAAUUAAUAACAAUACCCC
rnacentral:rRNA from 1 species